UCACUGCUACUCUUGUUGUGUGGUGCGAGGUCAUCGCGGUUUAAAUGUUGCUUCCAGUGCAUUGACACGUGCGAGAUGUGUUUACAUACUUUCUCGCACGAAUUUUUGCAUAAUUUCGUUGAUUGUUGGCGGCACGUGUGUUGGUACGUGUACUUGGACGACGAGGGAAUACAGGCGUACAACAACAGUCACGAAAGGUGAUCGACGGAAGAAGCGGAGAAGUGUAGAAGCGAGAGCGUGGAUGAGAGCGGAAAGGAGAUGGAAAAGAAGAGUGAGUGAAGGAGGACGACAGGCAAGAUUCUUGAGUGUCGAACGGACGUUACUUCGCGCGAUUAUAGUUUUUGUAUUUUUUUUUUCAGUAGCAAUGUACGCGAAAUACGCGUGAAUCACGCAUCGUGUCGGGAGUGCCGUGUAAAGUAUCGCGCGUCGGGAGUGCCGUGUAAAGUGUCGGGCGAUCGUAAUUAUUCGUGUUUUCGCGAGUGUUGUAAGUGCUACGAAGGACCAAGAGAGGAGGAAGAGGCCCAGGGAGGCAUCGGGCGACAGUGAGGCAAC